rnacentral:rRNA from 1 species
GAGUUUGAUCAUGGCUCAGGAUGAACGCUGGCGGCGUGCCCUAACACAUGCAAGUUGAGCGAUUUACUUCGGUAAAGAGCGGCGGACGGGUGAGUAACGCGUGGGUAACCUGCCCUGUACACACGGAUAACAUACCGAAAGGUAUGCUAAUACGAGAUAAUAUGCUUUUAUCACAUGGUAGAAGCAUCAAAGCUUUUGCGGUACAGGAUGGACCCGCGUCUGAUUAGCUAGUUGGUAAGGUAACGGCUUACCAAGGCGACGAUCAGUAGCCGACCUGAGAGGGUGAUCGGCCACAUUGGAACUGAGACACGGUCCAAACUCCUACGGGAGGCAGCAGUGGGGAAUAUUGCACAAUGGGCGAAAGCCUGAUGCAGCAACGCCGCGUGAGCGAUGAAGGCCUUCGGGUCGUAAAGCUCUGUCCUCAAGGAAGAUAAUGACGGUACUUGAGGAGGAAGCCCCGGCUAACUACGUG